UACAGAGGUCUCAAGCGUUGUUCGGAUUCAUUGGGCGUAAAGGGUGCGUAGGCGGCGCGGUAAGUCGGGUGUGAAAUCUUGGAGCUUAACUCCGAAACUGCAUUCGAUACUGCCGUGCUUGAGGACUGGAGAGGAGACUGGAAUUUACGGUGUAGCGGUGAAAUGCGUAGAUAUCGUAAGGAAGACCAGUGGCGAAGGCGGGUCUCUGGACAGUUCCUGACGCUGAGGCACGAAAGCGUGGGGAGCAAACAGG
rnacentral:rRNA from 1 species